AUUGAACGCUGGCGGCAGGCUUAACACAUGCAAGUCGAGCGGAGAUGAGGUGCUUGCACCUUAUCUUAGCGGCGGACGGGUGAGUAAUGCUUAGGAAUCUGCCUAUUAGUGGGGGACAACAUUCCGAAAGGAAUGCUGAUACCGCAUACGUCCUACGGGAGAAAGCAGGGGAUCUUCGGACCUUGCGCUAAUAGAUGAGCCUAAGUCGGAUUAGCUAGUUGGUGGGGUAAAGGCCUACCAAGGCGACGAUCUGUAGCGGGUCUGAGAGGAUGAUCCGCCACACUGGGACUGAGACACGGCCCAGACUCCUACGGGAGGCAGUAGUGGGGAAUAUUGGACAAUGGGGGGAACCCUGAUCCAGCCAUGCCGCGUGUGUGAAGAAGGCCUUAUGGUUGUAAAGCCCUUUAAGCGAGGAGGAGGCUACUGAGACUAAUACUCUUGGAUAGUGGACGUUACUCGCAGAAUAAGCACCGGCUAACUCUGUGCCAGCCGCCGCCGUAACAC
rnacentral:rRNA from 1 species